ACGGUCAGGCACGAAAGCGUGGGUAUGGAACAGGCUUAGAUACCCUGGUAGUCCACGCCAGUAAACGAUGAAUGCUCACUGUCCGGGCCGUUUAAGGCCUGGGUGGUCAAGCGAAAGCGUUAAGCAUUCCACCUGGGGAGUACGCCGGCAACGGUGAAACUCAAAGGAAUUGACGGGGGCCCGCACAAGCGGAGGAACAUGUGGUUUAAUUCGAUGAUACGCGAGGAACCUUACCCGGGCUCAAACGGAAGGGGACAGUAUGAGAAAUCAUACAUUCCUUCGGGACCGCUUCCGAGGUGCUGCAUGGUUGUCGUCAGCUCGUGCCGUGAGGUGUCGGCUUAAGUGCCAUAACGAGCGCAACCCCUAUCGACAGUUGCUAGCAGGUAAAGCUGAGGACUCUGUCGAGACUGCCGGCGCAAGCUGUGAGGAAGGCGGGGAUGACGUCAAAUCAGCACGGCCCUUACGUCCGGGGCGACACACGUGUUACAAUGGCAGGUACAGCGGGAGGCCACCCGGCGACGGGGCGCAGAACCCGAAAACCUGUCUCAGUUCGGAUUGGAGUCUGCAACCCGACUCCAUGAAGCUGGAUUCGCUAGUAAUCGCGCAUCAGCCACGGCGCGGUGAAUACGUUCCCGGGCC
rnacentral:rRNA from 1 species